rnacentral:rRNA from 1 species
GGGUCAUCGCGACUUGCCAAACCAUUGCAAACUCCGAAUACCGAGAAGGCCUGUAUGGGAGACACACGGCGGGUGCUAACGGCCGUCGUGAAAAGGGAAACAACCCAGACCCACAGCUAAGGUCCCAAAUGCAUAGCUAAGUGGAAAACGAUGUGGAAAGGCAUAGACAGACCGGAGGUUGGCUUAGAAGCAGACAUCCUUUAAAGAAACCGUAAUAUCUCGCUGGUCGAGUC